rnacentral:rRNA from 1 species
GAUGAACGCUGGCGGCGUGCUUAACACAUGCAAGUCGAACGGAAAGGCCCAAGCUUGCUUGGGUACUCGAGUGGCGAACGGGUGAGUAACAAGUGGGUGAUCUGCCCUGCACUUCGGGAUAAGCCUGGGAAACUGGGUCUAAUACCGGAUAGGACCACAUUUUGGAUGGUGUGGUGGAAAGUUUUUCGGUGUGGGAUGAGCUCGCGGCCUAUCAGCUUGUUGGUGGGGUAAUGGCCUACCAAGGCGUCGACGGGUAGCCGGCCUGAGAGGGUGUACGGCCACAUUGGGACUGAGAUACGGCCCAGACUCCUACGGGAGGCAGCAGUGGGGAAUAUUGCACAAUGGGCGCAAGCCUGAUGCAGCGACGCCGCGUGGGGGAUGACGGCCUUCGGGUUGUAAACUCCUUUCGCUAGGGACGAAGCGUUUUUGUGACGGUACCUGGAGAAGAAGCACCGGCUAACUACGUG